UCCAUAUGAAAGCCUUCCUUUCUGAAAAUGUACAUCCGUUUCUCAAAUGGUACAAUCCAAUUAAUGGUCUUUGACUACUCCAGAAGAAAAUAUUAAACAGACUUUACUGGGCACCUGUAUAAAGAAGGUUUAGCAAACUAUAGUAAAUGCCAGAGAUGCUGUCAACCAUCAGCUAACUUAAAUCAGAAGUAAUGGAGCAAUAUAUAUAAAGCUCAGCCCCUUUCCAAAAGUCUGUAUGCUGAAAUUAUACUAACUAAGGCUUCCAGCUAACACCAAGACAUGUGUGUCCAGUUUGUCUCUUUUAGCAACAAAACCUCCUGAAAUUAAGCAGCCUGUCCUGUCCUGUCCUCCUGUGCUACACAAAGUGCAACACAUUCCUGAAUCAGGAUUGCAAGAGUUCCUAUACCAGCCAAAUACAAUGAAGAAAAAUCCUCAGGAUUCACCGGAAGCAGGUUGCACAACCUCCAGUUACAAUAUCUGUUGUCUCUUAGGAGAGAUUGACCUCUGACCCCUAUCUGGAACAUCACUGAUGGACAGAAGAGCAACUCAAAAAGUAUAUCAUAUUUGAUCUGCAUAGUACACUCAGUAACUAUGGUUCCAAUAACACUGCAGAGCAGUAUCCUUGGUGCAAGGUACUGAGGGCCUGUCUUGAAGAAAAUGGGGUUCAGUGUGGAGUAGGAGGGAAAGGGUGGUUGCCAGAGGAUGCUUUCUCCAGAGCUAAAUACAAUUUUUUUUUAAAGUAUCUUUAUUUAGGAUUGCUCUGUCAGCUCAGCUAUAAGAAACCAAAUCAUAGAUCACAAAUUCUUGUAUCCUUGAGGUUCGUGGUGAUCAUGGGAAGUUUCUUUUCCAUCCAGAUUACAUAACCCAGCUGUCACGAUAACAGUGAAUCAAGAAAAGAGACCCAGUCUCUAUCAGUGACAUAAUUAAGUCACUGUAUAUUGGGGCAAGUGGCAGGCCAGUAAGUGACUCACAAUCCCAAGUUCAAUUCAGACCCCCAGCUCCAACUUUUGAGUUGCUGAAGCACUUUGUUGAGACCAGUUACAAAGCAAUACCUUCAUAAAUAUGAUUUCAUCACCAUGCUUCAGCUGAUACUAAUAUAUUCAGUCAAAUAAGACCUCUGUGUAAAUGAGAGCCUUGGGGAAACUGCACUUCUAAACCUCAACAGCUCUUGUUACCAUGGUAAUUGGUAUUCAAUACUUGGGCUUUAUUAAAUAAGGUUAACCCUUU